UACGUAGGGGGCAAGCGUUGUCCGGAAUUAUUGGGCGUAAAGAGCGUGUAGGCGGCCAGAUAAGUCCGCUGUGAAAUCUCGAGGCUCAACUUCGAGCUGUCGGUGGAAACUAUCUGGCUAGAGUCCGGAAGAGGAGAAUGGAAUUCCUGGUGUAGCGGUGAAAUGCGCAGAUAUCAGGAAGAACACCCGUGGCGAAGGCGGUUCUCUGGGACGGUACUGACGCUGAGACGCGAAAGCGUGGGGAGCGAACGGG
rnacentral:rRNA from 1 species